rnacentral:rRNA from 1 species
UACGGAGGGUGCAAGCGUUGUCCGGAUUUAUUGGGUUUAAAGGGUGCGUAGGCGGACUGGUAAGUCAGAGGUGAAAGCCCACAGCUCAACUGUGGAACUGCCUUUGAUACUGUCAGUCUUGAGUGUACUAGAGGUAGGCGGAAUGGAUGGUGUAGCGGUGAAAUGCAUAGAUAUCAUCCAGAACACCGAUAGCGUAGGCAGCUUACUAGAGUACAACUGACGCUGAGGCACGAAAGCGUGGGGAGCGAACAGG